UACGUAGGGUGCAAGCGUUAAUCGGAAUUACUGGGCGUAAAGCGUGCGCAGGCUGUUCUGUAAGUCAGAUGUGAAAUCCCCGAGCUCAACUUGGGAACUGCGUUUGAAACUACAGGACUAGAAUAUGUCAGAGGGGGGUAGAAUUCCACGUGUAGCAGUGAAAUGCGUAGAGAUGUGGAGGAAUACCAAUGGCGAAGGCAGCCCCCUGGGAUAAUAUUGACGCUCAUGCACGAAAGCGUGGGGAGCAAACAGG
rnacentral:rRNA from 1 species